rnacentral:rRNA from 1 species
GACGAACGCUGGCGGCGUGCCUAGCACAUGCAAGUCGAGCGGGGUCCAUCCAGUGGCAACACUGGGGAAGACCUAGCGGCGAACGGGUGAGUAACACGUGAGGAACUUGCCCCGGAGUACGGGAUAACUCGAGGAAACUCGAGCUAAUACCGUAUGCCCUCUUCUGGUCGCAUGGCCGGAUGAGGAAAGAUUUAUCGCUCCGGGAGAGCCUCGCGGCCUAUCAGCUAGUUGGUGGGGUAACGGCCCACCAAGGCAUCGACGGGUAGCUGGUCUGAGAGGACGAUCAGCCACACUGGGACUGAGACACGGCCCAGACUCCUACGGGAGGCAGCAGUGGGGAAUCUUGCGCAAUGGGCGAAAGCCUGACGCAGCAACGCCGCGUGCGGGAUGAAGGCCUUCGGGUUGUAAACCGCUUCAGCAGGGAAGAAACUGACGGUACCUGCAGAAGAAGCCCGGCCAACUACGUG